CCUGAUAGCUAAGUUGGUAAAGAAUCCGCCUGCAAUGCAGGAGACCCUGGUUCAAUUCCUGGAUCAGGA
rnacentral:tRNA from 1 species